rnacentral:rRNA from 1 species
CAGGCCUAACACAUGCAAGUCGAACGGUGGCAGCAAUGUCAUAGUGGCGCACGGGUGCGUAACACGUAACUAACCUGCCCAGACCUGGGGGAUAGCCCGCCGAAAGGCGGAUUAAUACCGCAUGAGAUAAUAAGGUGGCAUCACCUAGUUAUUAAAGAUUUAUCGGGUUUGGAUGGGGUUGCGGGUCAUUAGCUAGUAGGUGGGGUAAUGGCUCACCUAGGCGACGAUCCCUAGCUGGUCUGAGAGGAUGACCAGCCACACUGGAACUGAGACACGGUCCAGACUCCUACGGGAGGCAGCAGUGGGGAAUAUUGCACAAUGGGCGAAAGCCUGAUCCAGCCAUGCCGCGUGUGUGAAGAAGGUCUUCGGAUUGUAAAGCACUUUAAGUUGGGAGGAAGGGUUGUAGAUUAAUACUCUGCAAUUUUGACGUUACCGACAGAAUAAGCACCGGCUAACUCUGUGCCAGCAGCCGCGGUAAU